GACUGUAAUAUAACCACAAUGUUUCUGGCCUUCUUAGGAGAAUUUCUGAGGGCUUCACAGCAAAAUCUCAAAACAAGGGAGAGAAUCCAGUUUCAUUUGAAGGAUAAUCUGAUGUUUCAGAAGGAUUUUUUUGAAAAUGAAAGACCCCCAGUCCAGGAGUCCUGGGCCUGUUUGUUUGUAGAUGGCAGCAAGUUGCAGAACAAAUUCCAGAAGAGACUGCUAUGGCCCAGGCAAACCUGGAUGCUUGUAAUGCGCUGAUCAAAAAUUAUACACUUCGUUUUCUGACCGUCAACUCCUGUUCAAAGAUGAUCUUAAAUACGGUUCUGGGCGCACAUCUUGCCUGACUCCUGACUCACAGGCUGUGUUUACCGAGCAGCCGAAAUUGUUGGUGAACCUGCAAAAAUAGCCCAGUUUGACCUGCAAAUCACUGCAUUCAGGCCAGAAGCUGCAUGCCAGGCCCUCACCUCUGCCCUCACCCCACAGGACAGACAGUCCAGGUGCUCCUAGGAGCCAGGCUGUCAGGGACGGAGAGUGCGAGUGUGCAUGCAUAGGUGUGCAUGUGUGAAUGCAUGUGUGUACACGUGCUCUCACACGCCCACGUGGAGAGCAGCAAACACAAAUGACUCCCAGGAGCAGUGAAGGAGGAGGUUGUUUUUCACUGAGUGAGGUGUUUGCUGCUUGUACUUGAGGCACAGGACUGGGAAGGAAGAACCGAAAAUCCCAAUGAUCAUCGUCAUCAUACUAAUAUAAAAAGGACCAGUAUUUGUUGAGUAAUUAUUUGGAGCCAGGCACGGUGCUAAACUCUUUAAUUGAAAAACGCAUUUACUCUUCCCAACAACUGUAUGAGACAGCUGCUACUAUCACUCCCACUUUAUAGAAGAGGAAUCUGGGGCUCAGAGAAGUUAAGCAACCAGCCCAAGGUCAAGCACCGGGUCAGUGGCCAAGCAAGGAUUUGGAAAAUUUGACUGAAAGCAUUGUCUUCAGGGAGGCAGCCAACAGAUGCAUUUUCCUUCUGGGAGAAGUUGGUUUUUCUGAACUGAGCUCAGAGCUGUUCCUGGUUCCAUCUUGAGAUGCAAAGAGGUUGCUGACACCUUCAGGCAGGUUCCAGCGGUGGGGCGGGCAGGGAGGAGAGCCAACAGAGCUUGCUAGAAUGCUGUCCUUCCAAUACACACAAACAGGACAAUAACUGAGCUGGAAUGGCUCUUUAGCUUCUCAGACCAGGACAAAAUUGAGACCCAGAAAGGGAAAGUCACUUGCUCAGGGGCACACAGCAAGUAAGUGGCUGAGCCGAGAUGAGAAUCUACGUUGACUCCCAGUCAUUCUAGACUCCCAGUCUAGAAUGUUCCCGGCAGCAUAACAAACAUGGAUUAAGUACGUAUUAUUCACAAGAAGCUGUGCUAAGUAUGUGGUAUUAACUCAGUUAUUUCUCAAAACAAUCUGAUGUGUCCUAUUAUGAUCCCUAUUUUACAGAGGGGGAAACAAUAGUACAGAGAGGUUAAGCAACUUUCUUGAGAUGGCACAGCCAGGGAAUGUGCUACGUCCUUCAAGGCCAAAAUAGGAGCUGUUGUCCUACCCUGUUACCCUCCCAUCUCAUUUGUCCACAGCUGCCUGGUCUCUCCCUACCCCUACCUACUUCCUGGAGAAACCACAUGGUUCUCUCCUGGCCUUGAUCUCAAGGAGUUUGGGCUGAAGGUCUGGACUGGGUGUAGAAGGAAGCCCAGCAGACUCUAAACAGAUGCAGUUGUCCCCAUUCCUCAUCAUGCUGUGUAAUGCUGGCCACCCAGUGACCUCGAGGCCAAUGUCAACCGGAUCUGAUAGGCUCAGCUACAUGUACAGUUGGACGUUGCCCUGGGACUCAUCUGUAAGACAUGACUAACAGCUUCACACCCUUCCAAAGCAUUCCAUUUUGAAUCUGGUGUCACCUGAGCUGGAAAAGGCUUUUGUUUAACUUGGGUUAUCUGGGUGGCAGUCAUAUUUUUUUUAACUUCACCCUACCCUUUUUUAUAGCUGUAGAUAAUCUUUCUUUCUGUAGAUAGGCCCAGAAAUGUAACUGUAUUUAUGGGUCAGGCUUUGCACACAGUCAUCGCUCAGAGGGCAGAGACAGAGCAGUAACUCAUGGAGCAGGCAUGGCACUCUCACAGGCUCAAUUUUUUCUCACCAGAGCUCAUGGAGUGGAGGGUGGGUGAAGGUGACACCUUCAAGAGGGGAAUAGAAGAUGAGAUUUUAGCCCAGGUACAAGGAGAGCAAAAACAGAAUGAGAAGGAGUGUGUGGAGGCUGAAGACGGACCUGGGAGAGGUGUUUAAUGAUGUCUCACCUACCUCAGUGUUUGACCUGCCCAGUGCAGGAGACAGAAGCAAAAGGUUCCUUCGGGCCUCAGGCUCUGGAGACAGACAAUUGAGCUAAAAUCAUGAUGAUUAACUUACUAGCCAUGCUACUCUGAGCAAGUGACUUAGCUUCUCUAGGUCUCCAUUUUCUCAGCUACAAAAUGAGGAUAUUAAAAACACAUCAUGGGAUUAUUACAAAGAUACGUAACUUAAACAUGGUGCCUGGUGCACCAGGAAUAUUAAAAAAUGUUAGGUGUUAUUUGUACGCAUGUGGAUGAGAUUCAGAACAUCAUGCUGAGUGAAAGAAGCCAGACACAAAGCAGGGCAUUGGUUUCAAGUUCUAAAAGAGGCAAAACUAGUCUAUGGUAAAAGAAAUCACAACAGUGGUUAUCACCGAGGUGGGAGAUGGGGAGGGGUUGACUAGGAAGGGGUGCAAAGGAUCUCCCUGGGGUGAUGGUACUGUUCUCUCUUGAUAGAGGUGUGCAUGCAUUGAACUACAUGCUUAAGAUCUGUAAAUGUUACUAUACAUAAAUUAUACUCCCAUUAAAAAUUAUCAGGAAAAA
rnacentral:lncRNA from 1 species